rnacentral:lncRNA from 1 species
CAAAUUUGGAUGUGUAAAAUUAUUUUAAGCGCUAUAGGGUUAAUGUUGCCUAUAAAUCUGUUUUGCCUAACUCUUAGUAUUUUGAUAGUGGCUGUUCUAGACAUACGACUGGAAAUCUCGUUAUGUUAACUGAUUACAUGAGGAAUUGUUACUUUUGGGGAUGAUGCCCCAUAGUAGAAUUGCAGAAGUUGUUACUAUUGAGAUAAAUGGAUUACCUAUGCUGAAAAAUGUGUUCUAUGUUAACUUGAAAGCUAAUUUGAUUAGCG